rnacentral:rRNA from 1 species
GACUAUUGGACAAUUGGCGCAAGCCUGAUCCAGCAAUACCGCGGGGGUGAAGAAGGCCUUCGGGUUGUAAAGCCCUUUUGUGGGGAAAGAAAAGCAGUCGGCUAAUACACGGUUGUUCUGACGGUACCCAAAGAAUAAGCACCGGCCAACUUCGUGAAAGCAGCCGGGGUAAUACGAAGGGUGCAAGCGUUACGCGGACUUACUGGGAUUAAAGCGUGCGUAUGUGGUUGUUUAAGUCUGUUGUGAAAGCCCUGGGCUCAACCUGGGAAUUGCAGUGGAUACUGGGCGACUAGAGUGUGGUAGAGGGUAGUGGAAUUCCCGGUGUAGCAGUGAAAUGCGUAGAGAUCGGGAGGAACAUCCAUGGCGAAGGCAGCUACCUGGACCAACACUGACACUGAGGCACGAAAGCGUGGGGAGCAAACA